GAAAAAGGGGGGGGCGGGCUAACACAUGCAAGUCGAGCGGAAACGAGUUAACUGAACCUUCGGGGAACGUUAACGGCGUCGAGCGGCGGACGGGUGAGUAAUGCCUGGGAAAUUGCCCUGAUGUGGGGGAUAACCAUUGGAAACGAUGGCUAAUACCGCAUAAUAGCUUCGGCUCAAAGAGGGGGACCUUCGGGCCUCUCGCGUCAGGAUAUGCCCAGGUGGGAUUAGCUAGUUGGUGAGGUAAUGGCUCACCAAGGCGACGAUCCCUAGCUGGUCUGAGAGGAUGAUCAGCCACACUGGAACUGAGACACGGUCCAGACUCCUACGGGAGGCAGCAGUGGGGAAUAUUGCACAAUGGGCGCAAGCCUGAUGCAGCCAUGCCGCGUGUAUGAAGAAGGCCUUCGGGUUGUAAAGUACUUUCAGCAGUGAGGAAGGUGGGUAUGUUAAUAGCAUACACAUUUGACGUUAGCUGCAGAAGAAGCACCGGCUAACUCCGUGCCAGCAGCCGCGGUAAUACGGAGGGUGCGAGCGUUAAUCGGAAUUACUGGGCGUAAAGCGCAUGCAGGUGGUUUGUUAAGUCAGAUGUGAAAGCCCGGGGCUCAACCUCGGAAUUGCAUUUGAAACUGGCAAACUAGAGUACUGUAGAGGGGGGUAGAAUUUCAGGUGUAGCGGUGAAAUGCGUAGAGAUCUGAAGGAAUACCGGUGGCGAAGGCGGCCCCCUGGACAGAUACUGACACUCAGAUGCGAAAGCGUGGGGAGCAAACAGGAUUAGAUACCCUGGUAGUCCACGCCGUAAACGAUGUCUACUUGGAGGUUGUGGCCUUGAGCCGUGGCUUUCGGAGCUAACGCGUUAAGUAGACCGCCUGGGGAGUACGGUCGCAAGAUUAAAACUCAAAUGAAUUGACGGGGGCCCGCACAAGCGGUGGAGCAUGUGGUUUAAUUCGAUGCAACGCGAAGAACCUUACCUACUCUUGACAUCUACAGAAGCCAGCGGAGACGCAGGUGUGCCUUCGGGAACUGUAAGACAGGUGCUGCAUGGCUGUCGUCAGCUCGUGUUGUGAAAUGUUGGGUUAAGUCCCGCAACCAAGCGCAACCC
rnacentral:rRNA from 1 species